AUAUUUUUAGUAAUAAUUUUAGCCAGAUUAGAUUAAAACACAAUAUAAAUUACUUUUUAUAUAUUUAAAAUACUUCACCAAAUAUUUUAUGCAUUUCUAUGUCCUAUUUUAUUAGAAUUAAUAAUAAUAUAAUGUAUUGUCAAUUUUCUCCCUAAAUUGAAUAUAUUUCUCUACAGUUUUCUCAAGAGGGAUUUGCAGAGACAGGACGCUAUGAAAUUACCUCUCCCAUGCCCUCCACAGUACUAAGACUGAGGUACCUGUCUAUAUCAAAAGAUGAGUAGUACAAUGCAGAUGACUUAGCCAGGUGAUUCUUUACCUUUACACCAUCUUCUAUUAUAAGCUGAAUUGUCCCCUUCCCCAAAUUCAUAUAUUGAGUUUCUAACAUUCAGCUCCUCAUUUAAAGACAAGAUUUUUUAAAAGGUGACUAAAGUAAAAUGAGGUCACUGAUGUGGGCCUAAUCCAAUAGGACUGAUAUUCUUAGAAGAAAAAAGAUUAAGACACAGACAGAAGAAAGACCAUGUAAAGGCACAAGGAGAAGACAGCCAUUUACAAGCCAAGAAGAGAGGUCUCUGAAGAAACCAACCCUGCUGGCACCUUGCUCUUGGACUUCUGGCCUCCAGAUCUGUGAGGAAGUAAAUUUCUGUUGUUCAAGCAACCUGAAUUGGUUUACUUUCAAAUGGCAGCCCCAACAAACUGAUAGUUGGCUGACUAGGGAUGUUGGAUGCCAGGUCUCCUCAGAAAGAUCAAAGUUACAGGUGAAUGGCCAUGAUUUAAAUGGAAAUCUGAGGGAAUGAAGCAAGGACCUGUUGGAGCACCCAUGGGAAGAACCUGGGGCACAAAAGAGGAAAGCAGCAAGAGACUGGCAGAGAUUGUCUCCCUAGAAACCUGGACCACGAAAAGGGAUAUGGAUGUUACUUUUUCUCCAAGCAUAGGGAAAGUGCCUCUGAAAUAAAGAUUUUAUGACUUGCUUCAGGAAAGAAGAGCAAGAGGAAGGUGAGAGUGAUCUUCCUGAAUCUGCUGUUUUCUCGAAUG